rnacentral:rRNA from 1 species
UCAUUAAGCGGAGGAAAAGAAACUAACCAGGAUUCCCUUAGUAACGGCGAGUGAACAGGGAAAAGCCCAGCACCGAAGCCUGUGGCCGUUUGGUCUCUAGGCAAUGUGGUGUUCAGGUCAGCUCGCAGAGAUACUGCUCCACCCUAAGUCCUGUAAUGAGUAAGGUUACUGGAGCGGCCCACAGAGGGUGAAAGGCCCGUGGGGGUGGAGAUGCAGAUGAGUCAGUGUCUCUAUGAGUGGACCUUGGAGUCGGGUUGUUUGUGAAUGCAGCCCAAAGUGGGUGGUAAACUCCAUCCAAGGCUAAAUACUGGCACGAGUCCGAUAGCGAACAAGUACCGUGAGGGAAAGUUGAAAAGUACUUUGAAGAGAGAGUAAACAGUGCGUGAAACCGCUCAAAGGUAAACGGGUGGAGUUGAACUGCAAGCUCCGGGAAUUCAACUGGUGAGUGUGAUGUGAGCUUGGCACAUAGUUGUACAUCUGGGUCUGCUUAGCUGCAGGUCUCCGCCUCUGGUGGGGAUGCGCGAAUCACUUAUCAUGUGUUGUGCGCCCGGGCUGUGUCGAACUGGCUCGCCAGUGCACUUUCUCGGAGUAGUCACCACGACCGGCGUUGCUGCCUUGCUGUUGCGGUUAAACCGGCCUUGUAGGGUCCCUGUGGCCUUGCUUGGUCGGGAUGGCAGGUAGCCCGUUGUGUACUUCUGUGCGCCUCGGGUGUAAUAGCUGACUGCAUCGGUUUUGUGCGGUACGUCGGAGACGGCGGCUUGUUGUGCGUGCGUGCGUACCUUGUGCGCUGGCGGCGCUGGGUCCGGUUGCCAUGUUGCUUGUGAAUGCAGGCCUGGUGAUGGCUCGGUGUUGUUCGGUGUGCGGAUGCGUGUGUGGCA